rnacentral:rRNA from 1 species
CGGAGGGUCCAAGCGUUAUCCGGAAUCAUUGGGUUUAAAGGGUCCGUAGGCGGUUUAAUAAGUCAGUGGUGAAAGCCCAUCGCUCAACGAUGGAACGGCCAUUGAUACUGUUAAACUUGAAUUAUUAGGAAGUAACUAGAAUAUGUAGUGUAGCGGUGAAAUGCUUAGAGAUUACAUGGAAUACCAAUUGCGAAGGCAGGUUACUACUAAUAUAUUGACGCUGAUGGACGAAAGCGUGGGGAGCGAACAGGAUUAGAUACCCUGGUAGUCCACGCCGUAAACGAUGGAUACUAGCUGUUCGGAGCAAUCUGAGUGGCUAAGCGAAAGUGAUAAGUAUCCCACCUGGGGAGUACGUUCGCAAGAAUG